rnacentral:rRNA from 1 species
UAAUGAUGGGUAGGGGAGCUUCCCAUACGGGUUGAAGCAUGACCGUAAGGACAUGUGGACAGUAUGGGAGUGAGAAUGUUGGCAUGAGUAGCGAGAUGUGGGUGAGAAUCCCACAGGCCGUAAACCCAAGGUUUCCAGGGGAAGGUUCGUCCGCCCUGGGUUAGUCGGGACCUAAGCUGAGGCCGAAAGGCGUAGGUGAUGGACAACAGGUGGAUAUUCCUGUACUACCGAUAACCGUUUGAGAGAAGGGAUGACACAGUAGGAUAAGCUAAGCACACUGUUGGUUAUGUGUGCCCAAGCAUUGAGGCAGUCAAAGUAGGCAAAUCCGCUUUGAUAAUGCUGGGAUGUGAUGGGGAGCGAAAUUUAGUAGCGAA